CAGCCAGUCUGCGGCCAGGUCUCCCACCCAGGAUGGCUCUGCACAGGCCCCAAGCCCCCAGCUGCAGCCUGUCUGCAAACGUGUCAGUGGACGGGCUGUCAGAGGGCUGAGCCAUCACACGUUGGCCUUGUGGAGGAAUUGUGGGCUGAGGGACAACAGGAACAGCAGGUUCUGAGUGUCCAGAACCGCUGGACUUGGCUUCAAAGUGGACGGGUGGAUUUCCAGAGGAAAGUGCUUGGUGAAGCUGAGCAGAACUAUCCACAGCUGUCUGUUUUCUGCAAAUACCCUCACACUGCCCAUGGAUUAGGAAGAAGCUGUGGUUCAUGAUCAAGGCACCUCCUAAUCAAGAGGCUGGAAUAAUUUAACAUAUUCUAGAAAUGUAUAAAUUAAACAGAAAAAUCAAACCUUAGGGAAUUUGGAACUAUAUUGCUGAGAUAGCUUAACACUGGAUCUCAAAUAUUCAAUGUAAGUAUAAAUAUGUAUAUUUUUAAAGUUUAGGCAAUUAAAAUACCAUGCAGACAGACACUGCAAAUUAAAUUUAAUGGCACAGGCUUUUGUUUAGCUAUGCUAUGACUCACUUUGUUAUGAACUUUUUGGUAGUGUCAUUUUGUUUUGUUUGGACAUUUCCUUAAACCUUAAAAACUUAACUUCCAUCAGCGCUGUUGGAUGCACCAUAACCACACGGAGGCUGGGUUCUUCAUCAACAGCAUGCGCCCACACUGCACAGGAUAAGGAAAAUCCUUAAGAAAAAAGGACAACUUUACAUUUCAACUGGUCUCUUCUUCAGGGUAGUAGUCAGUAAACUGAACACAGAGACAUGAAUACUGUGAGUCACCUGCUCCAUCACACCUUCAUAGAAGGUACGAAGAGCUGUCCGUCAUGAGUAACUGAUUUCAUGCCAAUUAUUUGAAGACUGGAUUUCUUUGCCAAGAUCAACAGAUUUCAACAAAGUGUAGUUCACAGAACAUACUGUUUCAAAAGGACAAAGAGCCUGAAGGAACAGUGUUUCAUAACUGAAGUCCAUUUAGAUUUCAGACUUAGCUGUUUUCUUCUACUCUCACUAAGACCCCUCCAUGCUUUUUGCAGCUUACAGUCAAGUUUUCUUUUAUUCUAGUUUGAUCUAAAACUGCCAAUUUCAAGUGUCCAGUUUGAAUUGCACAAAGCAAAGAGUGAGUCUGAAGGCUAAAAUGCAAGUAGGUCAUUCAUCAGGCACAAAAGUGACCGGGCUGCAUGUUGGCAUAAAGUGAUAUCCAUUCAUUAGCUUUCACAGCAGUUCAAGAAUACAAAUUUUCAACCAAUAAGAAGGAAAAAAUAAUAAUAAAACCAUGACUAGGAAUGCA
rnacentral:lncRNA from 1 species